rnacentral:piRNA from 1 species
UGACCAACACAUUUCGUCCUUAAGAGAGC